UGGGGAAUAUUGGGCAAUGGGCGCAAGCCUGACCCAGCAACGCCGCGUGAGGGAAGAAGGCUUUCGGGUUGUAAACCUCUGUCCUUGGUGACGAAACAAAUGACGGUAGCCAAGGAGGAAGCCCCGGCUAACUACGUGCCAGCAGCCGCGGUAAUACGUAGGGGGCGAGCGUUGUCCGGAAUUACUGGGCGUAAAGGGUGCGUAGGUGGCCUUUUAAGUUGGAUGUGAAAUCCCCGGGCUUAACUUGGGGGGUGCAUCUAAUACUGGAGGGCUAGAGUGCAGGAGAGGAAAGCGGAAUUCCUAGUGUAGCGGUGAAAUGCGUAGAUAUUAGGAGGAACACCAGUGGCGAAGGCGGCUUUCUGGACUGUAACUGACACUGAGGCGCGAAAGCGUGGGGAGCAAACA
rnacentral:rRNA from 1 species